rfam:Desulfotomaculum hydrothermale Lam5 = DSM 18033, WGS project CAOS01000000 data, contig: ABX_2590_11
GGGGGGCGCCCACAGGAUGUGGGCGCCAGCCGAACCGGGCCAGGAUGGCCCGUUUGAGGCGACCCC